rnacentral:ncRNA from 1 species
AUUCCCGUUGCGGGAGAGCGCAUGCACCGCAUGCCGCCGAAGGCGUAACCCACCCGGAAUCGCUCAGGCAACAAGGACCGCAACGCCAGG